ACCCCCCCCCCCCCCCCCCCCCCACUCCAGACAAGACGUCAUCCACAGCAGGACAAACCUGUGUGCAAUUCAACAUUGUAGCACGUUGAAAAAAUACCCUCGCUUUUUAGCUGUUUGUAAAAAAUUUUACUCCGUUUUUUGGAUUCAUUUGGCUACCCUUGGAUACUGUGGACGUGCAUGAGGACGACACACUGCAACAGACGUCACUGGGUGUCCUUGUGAAUUAUCUGCGGCAGGUUUACACUUCCUACAGCUCCACAACUGCAGAAGCAUGCCUUGGUUGUUCCUGGACUGGUUUGUUCCCGUGUACCUGCUUGUGUCGGUCCUCGUUUUGGCGGGUUUCGGUGCCUGUCUGUACUUUCUGGAGCCGGGACUACAGGACGCACACAAGUGGAGCUCUCAGUCGGCACACCGUCGCCCUCUAGUGGCGAACGAUGAGAACUGCUGUAAAGACGACGAUAACAAUGCGCUGAUUUAACCGUAGCGAAGAUCAGUUGAAAUGCUGUACACACGCUGUACUCACUGCCUGGACUGGACAAGACACCUUCAGUAUUCAAACCCUUCAGGGAGAACAGGGUUGAAGGCAUGAAACGAUGUCAGGAGUGUAUGAAAGAACAGGGCUCAUCACAGUAAACUCUUAGAACAACGAGACUACAUUGCAGUGCCAUUGACCUGAAAAAGAAAGAGAAGUUAAACGUAAUCUCUAUCAUAACAAAAUCAAGUAUACUUUUUUAAAAAGUAGUUGAAUUUUUACUGGUCAUAACUGUGCCAAAUCUGUGCUACAUUUCUACACUGGUUAAGUCUAGAACAUAUUGUCCAAGUAAAUGCUUUUAAUUUGAAAGUUCAUAAUGGUAUUUCUGUCCCGGCUUAUCUCUAAGUCUGUCUUGCAUGGGAUAUGAACAUGAUGAUAAUAGAUAUCCUGGAUCUUAGUAAUAAAACUGAUAUGACUGUGUUCGUGUACCAAAUCUAUGUGUUUCCCUCUUUUUGUUUUCAAAUCAACACCAAUAAACGGACAUGAGAUGCCUGAAUGAAAGACUGUUUAAGAUUUUUUUGUUUGUUUAUCAUUUAAAGAAACAUAUGCUGUUUGUCAUCAGAUGUAAUUUGACAAUAUACAGAUGUUGUACUGUGGGGAAAAUGCUUUGUACAUGCACACUGCGCACUGUGGAAGAAGCAUAAUAAAAUGCAUUAUUUUACCAUCA